rnacentral:lncRNA from 1 species
AGACAGUAACUUGGUUCUCAUCCAAGACGUCGCUGUCACGAUAAAAUUACAUAUCCAACCUCAUACUAGACUCCUAUUACAGAGCCGUCCUGCUAUAAAGCGGUUCCGGGGCCACCUUGACUGUCUUCUUCUUCAUUUGUAAGCUUCGUUGAGACCGAGCAGCCUUCAGUAGACUUCCCACCUUCUUUGGUCGAAGCUAGUUGACUUCGACUUCGGGUCAUGGAGUCUUCAUGAAGCCGAAACGCUGGGAGCUCCAUGGGGGGUUUAACUUCGUGAGUCCUUUCCUGCAAAACAACAAAGUCGACACCUUCUUGAUAGCUAACUUCGGUCAUUUGUUAACUUCGUAAGGAGGGGGAAAGUGAUGAGGUUAGAAUCGGUCCAGAGGAAAAGGUCCCCGCUAGCGCCGUUCAGGGUGUGUUGUGGGGCGGUCCCCAACAGUAGCCCCUUCGUGGGCGUGGUCCGAGGCGCCGUCGACUGAUCCCGCGAAAAGUCCAAAAACGCCCCCAAAACGUCACCCUGAAGGGCGGCGUGGGCUGAGGCAUUUUACCGUUAUGUGAGGGUAUCAAGGACAUUUUCUAUGUGGCAGUUCAUGUUUCGAGGCGGUUUUUACCGUGCCUAUAUAAGGUUUGCCGGGGGGCGGGCCAUUUUUUACGCUGUCGUUUUCGAGCUGCGCUUUUCGCCACUUUUGCCUUCGUUGCGUGUCUUCGUUUUGUUUUGUUGGCUCCGUUUUCUUGGUGGGGUGUUGACUUCAUUUUCGCGGCAGUUAGCAUCAGGCAGAGCUGUAGGCAAUGUCUUCGGAGGAGUUGGCUCUUCAGGUUGCCCCUGGUGGUGGAGGUAGCCUUGCCUCGCAGUUAGUGUCUGCGAGCAGUGGUGAGUCUAAGGGGAAAAGGUCAAAGAAACGGAUCUAUACGAAGGAUGGACUGGUUUCGGCAGAAGAGGGAUCUUCGGGGAGUAGUUCGCCAGAUUGGUCCUCUGACGGUGGUGAAGGCGAAGGUGGACAGGGGCAAACCUCGAAAGGUACAGGGGGAACCGAGGUUCAUGCCGUAUCCUCGACGAGGAAGAGGUUGGGGAGGAGGAUGCCGAGGUUGAAGUGAGGCCCGAGGCAUCCGUCGGGGGGAAGGUUCCGUGCGUCCCUACUCUUUAUUUUGGACGCUCCCAGGUGACCUCGCAAGACAUUACAUUUUUUGAGGAGAGCCACUUUUUCCCUAAGGGGAUGGGCAGAGCCCCCGGGAGCGAGGCAGUUCCGACGCCUGAGGUCGGCGAGGCGAUUGUCUUUAGGGAUCUGUUUACUACGGGACUUCAUUUUCCAUGCGAUAGGUAGCUUCCGGUUAUAUUGGAUCGCUACCGUUUUAGGCUGCAUUAGUUGACCCCCAAUGCCAUUGUGAACUUGUUUAAGUUCUAUUGGGUGCAGCGCACGUUUGGUGGAAGUGUUAAUUGGAGGGGUUCGCGAGGUUACAUGAGCUUCACAUUCAGAAGAAAAGAACUUAUUCUGAUGAGGGGGUUUGCGAAAAUCAUUUUGGAUGUUGCACCUUCGUGCCUCGUUGGAAGAAUGAUAAGAGGAAUCUACCGAGGGUAGAGCUUACCUUCACGCAGAGGAACAAGUGGGACGAUGCGUGGCUGACGCAUUGGUUUUAUGUAAAGAUUGAAAUGGCCGGUCUUGGCACUGGCUUUCCAUUCUAUGCACAGUUUGGGCCGAUGGACGUGCUGACAACCCCUUCGUUCAUCCAGACAGCCCUUGUGACGAAGUGCGAAGCUGCCUAUAGGGUUGCUGGGCCCUUGAUAUCUGGGCGUGAUCUUGUGGAGGAGUACGUCGCUGCCCGAGUGUGGCCUUUGUCUGCUGAUUUUGCUAAACCCCUUGAGCUCGUUGAGAAGAAAGUAUCUUGGAGUGAGAAGACUGUGCCGUUCCCUUGUUUUGAGCUUAACAAGGAUGAAGUUGGCGACUUGGACUUCUACAUACAGUCAGUGGAAGAUAUGGCUUAUGAGAUUUUGGGUCCGGUGACCCCGCCCGAAAGGCGCUCUUUCAAGGCUGUUAUGAGACAUGGGUGGCGUGUCAACCGGGUUUUUGAUUUGCUUGACAUCGCAGUGCCACCUUGUCCCGAGGUUAUGGGCAAGAGGUGCCGUCGAGGUGUCGUUGCUGAGCAGAGGAAGAAGGUGAAAUUCGAUUCUGCUCGCACGACAAAACCUGCUGUUGAGUCAUAGGCAGCCGCCAAGGCGAAGCAAAAAACCCUUAGCUUGGAGGCGCAGAAGCGGAAAGAUACUAUUGUUGGAGCUUCGUCUGUUGACUUGAGUAGGUCGUCGUAUGUUGUGCCUGUUUCUGUGCGUCCUCCUAUGGAUGCGCCUUCGUCCGCGGGCCCUACCAUUCGGACUAAAAAGGGGGGUAACAAACCUCGCUUUGCACGUGUUAUUGUGCCGGGUGCUAAGGUCGAAGUGCCUUCUGGGACCAGCAACAAGGUUGCACCUUCUUCCUCAGGCGCAAGGGCUCUGGGCGUGCAGUCUAUUUUGGCUGCAAACGAGAAACGUGAGGAGAGGGUAGCUGUUGAGAAGGCGAAGCUUGUGGACGCAUUUUCAUCUGAUCCUAAAGGUGCUAGUGUCGAGGCUGUUAGAUCCGGUAAGCAUGUAGAGGUGAUUUUGCCGAAGCUUCGGUUUUUUGAUUGCGGGCGGGCUUCAGCGUCAUUUUUGAAGGAUUUGGAGGCUACUAUGGGGGAGGUUGGUGAGGUUAGCUGUGAGGAUCAUGUAAGGUUGAAAGUUAAAUGUUAUGAUGUAGGUGAGAGAUUGCCGGCUGGUCUGCAAGGUCUUAAUGAAGGCCUGGGCUUGAGUGGGCGCACGGAGGUUCUAGCAACGUGCGCCGAAGGUAGGGGUCUAUAAUCCACAUAACCUAAUUUUGGACUGGGGGAAGGGUCGUGAGGAUUUCGAGCGCUGUGCAGAUACCGGAGGUUCAAGGAGGAUGGAGAGAACAAGUGCGACGGCUUCGGGUAAAGAGAUUGUUCCGGUCGCCGUCGAGGCGCGGGGGUACGAAGGUAAUGGCUUCUUGUGAGUGAUCAUUGUUUGUGGACUUCAUUGCUAUUGUGGUGUACUUAUAAUUGUAUGCUUGACCCACAGAUUUUCAGCAACCUGUAAGGUCGAUGAGCUCGGAGGAACUUUUGAGCUUGGAGGCUAACCUCGUAAAGAAGGUAUGACUACUAGUCGAUUUGUUGGUGCGUGCGAGGUUUAUUAGUUUUACUGUGUCUGCUGCGACUUGGUCUGAUGUUUUGUGUUUGGGCUUUGCAGAUGUCUUACUCGUCCAUGGUUACGAGGGAUAGGCUUGUCAAAAGCGAGAAGUCAGCUGCAGAACUUGCAAAGAAAGUGGCUUCACUUGAAGCGACUAUUGCAGCUAUGUCCCUGGAGGUGAAGAAGGUCAAAGUCGAGAAUGCGGAGUUGAAGGAGGACUCUCGCAGACUUGGCGAAAAUUACGAGGCCAGGGGCGAGGAGCUUGAGCGCUUGUCAGCAGAAGUGGUAGAUCUUGAAAUGCUGAUUAAAGAGAAAGACAAGACUAUCGAAGAUUUGCGCGACAGUGCCAAACGGGAUAGUGAGGUUAUAUCGGGCUUGAAAGCUAAGAUUGGCCAGAUGGAGCCCAAGCUAGGAAUGAGGGCAAAACUUCUGAGCCAGAUAGAGGCUACGCUAAGGGAGAGGUUUGAAAAGGUUCACGAAGCUUAUAAAAACUCCCUUGGUGUGUUUGGCACUGAGCCCGAUGAUUGCCUACUGAACGAAGGAUGCGAGUGCAUGUUCGAGUGGCUGCUGGAUGAGGUUAACAGCCUUCCCGAGGUUCUUGAGGGCCUGAAUGACUACUCCGCGGUGUUUUGCCUAGAGAGCGCCCUUCACUUGCUGGAGCAACAAGGAUGUGAGCAUAUAAAGAAUAUUUCCGAACACAAUUAUGUUGCGCCGGCUGCCCAAGAUAUUGGAUGCGCUCUGAAGUCUUCUGUUGUGGAGAAUGCAAAGAAGAAUUUGUUCAAGCGUAUGUGGUCAUCCUCUGGGUAGGAGUACGUGAAGAAGCUGGCUUGCGAGCGAUUAGCUCAGCUUCGUUCACAGCCUAGCGUUACUAAUGAAGAGGGGGAUGCUGCGGAGUAGAUCUUUUAACUUAUGGACUUAUUUUUUUGUCUUUUGUUUUUAUGUAAAGAUGACGAGGUCAGAUACUUUUAAUUGUGUAUGAAGUUACGCCUUAUGAAAUAUUUGUGUGCAUGUGUAUCUUGGUUAAAAUGCUAUAGUUUAACUACGUUUAUUCGUGGGCCAACCGCCGGUUUAGAUAAGUUGAAGCUGGGUUGCCGUGCGGGGCAACCUGCUGACUUAGUUGUUGCGAGAGCUGGUUGAUACAGCGACUUGCGCUCGCUUCAACCAUAAUUGUAUGCGUUGCUGGGUGUGGUGACUUCGUGUGAGGUUGGUGUGGUGACUUAUUUUUGGAAGCGGGUAUGCUUGAAGGUGUUUUCGAAAAACGUCACCCCCCUUUUGCGAUAUUGCGAGAGAGAGGUUAGAUAACUUGAGCUUGCGGGCUCUUCUCUUGCGAGGUCGCAGAGACUUUCCGCGUUUUUUCGAAAAAACGUUGUUGAAGCCUUGCCAAGGCUGCAUGCGAGAAACUUGCUUGUGACAGUCUGUUGUUUGUGUCCCAAACGAAAAAACUCCUCCGCGGACUGGCGCGAGGUCGCGUAACUUGUUGUUGGUUUUUCAAAUGAGAGACUCCUUUGUGCACUGGCGCGAGGUCACGCAACUUGUUGUUGCUUUCUUACAUGAAAAGAUCCUCUGCGUACUAGCGCGAGGUUACACAACUUGUUGUUGCUUCUUAAUAAAAAAAAACUCCUCCGCGCACUAGCGCAAGGUUACGCAACUUGUUGUUGCUUCUCAAUCAAAAAACUCCUCCGCGCACUAGCGCGAGGUUACGCAACUUGUUGUUGGUUCUCAAUCGAAAAUCUCCUCCGCGCACUAGCGUGAGGUUACGCAACUUGUUGUUGGUCCGUGAGAUGGAAGGAGCCGGGUCUGCCAGUCUUUGCGACAAUGUAGGGGCCUUCCCAGGCCUCUUGCAGUUUGCCUGGGUUUUCCGAGUUCUUCUUCCUUUUGAUGACGAGGUCACCGACAUUGAUCUGUCUUUCUCGGAUGUGUUGAUUCUUCCAUCUUCGGGUUUCUUCUUGGUAUUUGUCUAGGUUCUCAAUGGCUUCGUUGAUGUCAAGCUCCAUCAUAUCUUUUUCUAUUCGUGCGAUUUCAUCAACGUCACCAUGCUUGAGGACUCUUAGGCUUUUGUUUUUUAUUUCUUCAGGCGUUACAGCCUCGGCCCCGAAUAAGAGCUUGAAUGGGGUAAAGGCUGUUGCUCUGGAUUGUGUUGUGUUAUGGGACCAUAUGACUCUUGGGAGCUCGUCGACCCAUUUGCCCUUUUUCUGAUCGAAGAGACAUUUCUUGACUGCUGUAAAUAUCGUGCCGUUGGCUCUUUCUACAGCUCCGUUUGACUGCGGGUGGUAUACGGACGAGAAUUUUAUCUUCGUGCCUAAGCUUGCGCAAAAGUUCAUGAAUGAAAUGCAAUCAAACUGCUUGCCAUUAUCGACGGUUAGCUCCCUUGGGACUCUAAACCGACAGACAAUGUUUUGCCAGAAAAACUUUUGCACCGAAGCUGACGUGAUGACGGCGAGUGGCUUGGCUUCGGCCCAUUUGGUGAAGUAGUCUAUUGCCAGCGCUGCGAACCUGCAGUUUCCUUGUGCUUCUGGAAGUAGGCCAACUAGAUCCAUCCCCCAUCUCUGGAGAGGCCACGAGGGGGGUAUUAGUUCGAUGGGAAGUGAAGGUGUAUGUGUUUGCCUUGCCAUUUUUUGGCAUGCUUCGCAGCUUCGUACAAGCAGGUGUGCGUCCGUGUGGACUGAUGGCUAAUAGAACCCUUGACGGAUUGCUUUUCCUACCAGGGCUCUUGAGCCAAUGUGAGCUCCACAGAAAUCGUCGUGUAUUUCUUUGAGCAGUUCACUGCCUGUUUCGUAGUCGACGCACCGAAGCCAUGGUGUUGAGAUGCCUGUUUUGUAUAGCUGGCCCUCAAUGAUUGCGUAGCCCCUUGCUCUUUGCUUUAGACGUGCGCAUUUAGCUUCGUUCUGAGGUUCAAAAUGGCCUCUGAGGAAGGCCAUUAUGCUUGUGCGCCAAUCGUAACGCUGGAUGGCGUUGAUGGUGGCCGGGUCUUCUUGUUUGAUUGACGGCGAAGUUAUGACUUCGUAAAAUGUAUCUGGCGGAAUUGGCUUGCCUUCUGCUGCCGCCUUUGCGAGUUUGUCAGCUUCGUCAUUUUGUGCUCUUGGUAUGUUUGUGACAUCAAACCCUUUAAAAUGUUUUUCCAUGGCUCGGACUGCCUGGAGGUAUUUGACAAGCUCUGGCUCUUUGGCUUCGCUAUCCUUCUCGAUGUGAUCACGGAUUACCUUCGAAUCUGUUCUGAUGACGAAUGUUUGCUGCCCUAUGGCUUUCAUUUUUCUUAAGGCCAGGAGAAAUCCUUCGUACUCUGUGGUGUUGUUGGUUGACUUCGCAGUUGGUGGGAAAUCUAGCCUCGCUGCGUACUUGAUUCUAACGCCUAUUGGCGAGGUGAUCACUGCUGCGACACCUGCUCCUCUACGGCACCAAGCUCCGUCACAGUGGACGACCCAUGGCGUUUCUAGCUGCUUUGGUUCUUGCUUAGGCGAGGUCCAGUCAGUGAUGAAGUCAGCCAAGACUUGGGAUUUUAUAGCCGUGCGCCUUUCGAAAUCGACGAUGAACUCCGAGAGCUCAGAUGCCCAUUUGGCGAUGCGGCUAGAAGCUUCUCUGUUUGAGAAGAGAUCAUGGAGAGGUUGGCUGGUUACCACGACUAUUUUGUGCCCCUCAAAGUAAUGUCGUAGCUUUUGUGCUGCCAUGACAACCGCAUAUGCGAUUUUUCUAACUCAGAGUAACGCAUCUUUGAACUGCUCAAUGCCUCUGAUGCGAAGUAAACUGGUAUCUGCUUAAUUUUGCCUUCGAUUUCUUUCUCUUGGAUCAACGCAGCACUGACAGCUGUUGCUGAGGCUGAUACGUAAAGCAACAGUGGUGACUUGGGCUCUGGUGGGCAUAGCUUCGUCAUGGAAUGCAGGUACGCCUUGAGGUCUUGGAAUGCUCUGCUUUGUUCGUGUCCCCAUUCAAAUAUUUUGGAGCUUCGGAGCAUUUUGAAGAAGGGGAGGCUUCGCUCUGCUGCUCUCGGAAUAAAACGGUUUAGGGCUGCGAUUCUGCCAGUGAGCCGUUGUACCUACUUGAGUGAUGUUGGCUCUGACAUGUUGGCUAGUGCUGUGAUUUUGUCUGGGUUGGCCUCGAUGCCCUUCGUGGUUACCAAGCAGCCUAAGAUUUUUCCCCUUUGGACUCCGAAUACGCAUUUGUCUGGAUUUAGCUUCAAAUUGGCUGACCUCAUGUUAGUGAAUGUUUCUGUGAGGUCCAUGAUAUGGUUGCUUCGUUUAGCGCUCUUUACGAUGAUGUCGUCUACAUAGGCCAAAAUAUUGCGCCGAAGCUGGUUGUCCAGGAUUGUUGCUGUCAUUCUUGAGAAUGUUUGGCCAGCGUUUUUUAGCCCCUCUGGCAUACGGACGAAGCAGAAUGUUCCGAAGGGUGUCACGAAACUUGUUUUGCUUUCAUCUUCUUUUUUGAUUCUGAUCUGGUGGUACCCUGAGAAGAGGUUAAGUAGCGAGAGCAUUUCAUUGUUUGCAGCGUCAUCUACCACCUUGUCAAUUCUUUCGAGAGGGUAGUCAUCUUUUGGGCAGGCUUUGUUGAGGUCUGUGAAGUCUAUGCACAUUCUCCAUUUGCCAUUUUUGUUUUUAACUGGUACUGUGUUGGCUAGCCAGUCAGGGUACUGGAUUGGCCUGAUUACGUUGGCUUCGAGUAGCCUGUCAACUUUGGCCUUUACUGCUUGGACCUUCUCGUCGGACAUUUUUCUUAGCUUCUGUUUCUUUGGCCUAGCUCCUUAUUUGAUGUCAAGGCUGUGCUCAAUGAUUUCCCUAUCCACUCCCUUUAGAUCACUUGCAGACCAAGCGAAGAUGUCUUUGUUCUUGUUGAGCCAUUCGACGAGGUCACGUUCUUCAUCUGGGUUGAGAUUCGCCCCAAUUGUUACGAAUCUGUCUGCGAUGUACCCGUCUAGGAGUACCCGCUUUGUUUCACCGUCCGCACUGAUUUUUACCUUCUCUUUAUCUCUCUUAGGCUCGUCGUGGGCCUUUUGCUUUGCUAGGUUUUCAGCUUCGUUUGACGAGGCUAGAUGGUGGACAUUCUUUUGGCCCGGGGCUACCCCUUUUUCUAUGUUCCUUGCCAUUUGCUGAUCACCGUACACCGUUAUGACCCCUUUGAGGGCGGGUAUUUUCAUGCAUAGGUACAACUGCCUGAUUGUUGCGUCCAUUUUGGUGAUGAAGCCACGGCCGAGUAUUGCGUUGUAGGGAUAAUGCAUUUCCACUACGUCGAAGGUGAUGUGUUCUGUCCUCGCAUUAUCACGGUCCCCGAACGAAACUGGGAGGGCGAUUUUUCCCAAGGCCUUCACUGGCUUUCCGCCGAAGCCGAGGAGCGGGACAUCAGCUGGGUCGAGCGUGUUCAUGUCAAUGUUCAUUUCUUUGAAUGCAUUUGCGAAGAGAAUGUCCGCGGAGCUGCCUGUGUCUACCAGGACUUUCCCCACUGUCCAGCCUGCUAUCAGUUCUUUGAUGACCAUCGCAUUGUUAUGCGAGGUUGUCUUGAGGUUGAAAUCUUCGCCGGUGAAGGUUAUGGGCAUGUGCGCCCCAUUCUGGCUUUGCUGGAGGUCCGUCGGGAAUGAUCAUGUUGACCUCUCUGAAGUAGUUCCGUCUCUGCCUCUUGCUUUCAAACUCUAGUGAGGAGCCCCCGGUGAUUGGCAUUAUCAUCCCGAAGGUGGGCAAGGAAUUUUGGUUGUUGUUUUGCGUGUUGGGUUCUGGCUUGGGCAUUAUGGCUGGCAUGCUUGGGGGUGGAGGUAGAGUUUCUUGGGGCUUCUGAGGCGGGUUGGGAUUGGGGUGGUGUGGAAUUGCUUGGUGGUAGGGCUGUAUGUGUGGGGGAAGAGGCCAAUUCAUCGGUUGCGGGAAGUUGGCGAAGCUAGGCUGAUUGUGGUAGAAGGUUGGGUGUGGGUAAAAAGUUGUGUGGUGGAUUGUUUUGGGCGUCUGCACGGCUGCCUUCGUAGCUUCUUCCGCAGCUUUUCUCUCUUCUUCCUUCUUUUUGGGGCACCACUCUGUGUUGUGGUGAUUCUGAUGGCCGUGGUUGACACAGUAAAAUGACUUUGGUUGUCUGCCUCGACCUCGUCCUCUGGCAGAGUGGCCCCCUCUUUGGGUGCUGUUGUUUUAAUUUUGGCUCUGGCUUUGGUUUUGGCUUCCCUCGAUGUUCAUGAUACGGUUUUGGUUUUGGUUUGGGUUUUGGGGCUUGUUGUAAGGCAAAUGUUGCCAGCUUCGGUUUUGGUUUGUUUGUCUUUCUUUGUUGCGUUCCGCCACUCUUCUGUGGUGGUCCUCGUCGGCCCUGAUGUAUUCAUCAAGUUUGCUGAAGAGGGCAGUCAUGGUUUUAGGCUCCUUCCUUGAUAGUUUUGACGCUGUUGGGCUAGGGGUUAGGCCCGCGAUACAAGCGGAUAUUGCUACAGAUUCCUCAAUGUGCGGUGCUUGACAACGAAGUUGAACGUAUCUUCUUACAUAUUCUGCAAGUGGUUCCUUGUCCUUUUGCUUGCACUGAAAGAGGUCUGCCUGGGCCGUGUGGGGGUGGUGGAAACCCUGGAAAUUUUGAGUGACCUUCGUCUUGAGAUCGUGCCAGCUGAUCACCGUGUGUGGAGGGAGCAGCGAAUACCAAUUAAGUGCCACGCCCUCGCAGGCAAUUAUGAAGGAUUUGGUGAGGACGACGUCAUCCCCUCCGGCCGAAGCUAUUGCGGCUUUGUAACUCAUUAAGAAUUGCUAUGGGUCGGUGCGCCCGUUGAAUUUGGGCAAGGUGGUUGGUUUGUAAGUUGUUGGCCAUGGUGUAGUUUGUAGCCCUAUUGAGAGUGGUGAAGUUGUGUCGACCACAAGGGACACCCCCGGUGAGUGGUGCUGGGUGCCUUGGCCGAAGUUGAGGCUGGGUUGCAGCUGUGCUUGAUCGACAGUGGGACUUUGAUAAAAAUAAGUUGCGGCCUGGUUUGCAUUCUUGAGCGGGCUUUCGAGCUCUACGACUUCUUUCUGUAGUGCUUCUAGUUGCCGCCUAGCUUCGUUCAACUUUGGUAGCCUGGCCGCAACCUCUCUCUGGUGUUGCACUUGCCAUGCCAACUGUUCCUUUUUUCUUUUGACCUCUUCUAUCUCUCGGAGAACUGAAUCUAGUUCAUUGUCCAGGCUGGAUGGGCCAGUAGCUUCGGGUGUUGUGGGCUGGUGGGCAUCAAUGCAGUUGGCAGCUUCGUUUGCCACAGGUUGGUGGCUUUGGUGGUUGACUUCGUUUGCGGGCUGGUUGCUCAUUGCCUUGGCCCUCAGGGCUUGCUCGACUCUUGCAAGACGCUCCGCCUUGUUGAGGAGGACUUGAUGUGUAGCUUCGGGGGCCGUGAGCUGGUUGGCUUCUUCUGUGUUGUCUUCCCUCUGAGCUGCGGGUCUCUUUUUGCGUUGUGGUGGCAUCGUGGGCUGUUUAACGAGUUAAACCACGGUGGGCGCCAAAUGUUAGGGUACCCCCAAACAACAGUAAGAAUAUUAUGACGAACGAAGAUAACGGUAGUUCAAACAAACGUUACAGUGGCUGUCCUAUCAAUGAUUCGUGUGUUCUUAGGGGGGACGGUUCGCCUCCCUUUAUAGAGUCAUAAAGUUACAUUUCCGCAUCACCGUUAUACCCAUACUCAACCACUACAUCCUAAGAAUAUUCCGUACAAGACAGUAACUUGGUUCUCAUCCAAGACGUCGCUGUCACGAUAAAAUUACAUAUCCAACCUCAUACUAGACUCCUAUUACAGAGCCGUACUGCUAUAAAGCGGUUCCGGGGCCACCUUGACUGUCUUCUUCUUCAUUUGUAAGCUUCGUUGAGACCGAGUAGCCUUCAGUAGACUUUCCACCUUCUUUGGUCGAAGCCAGUUGACUUCGACUUCGGGUCAUGGUGUCUUCACGAAGCCGAAACGCUGGAAGCUCCGCGGGAGGUUUAACUUCGCGAGUCCUUUCCUGCAAAACAACAAAGUGGACACCUUCGUGAUAGCUAACUUCGGUCAUUUGUUAACUUCGUAAGGAGGGGGAAAGUGAUGAGGUUAGAAU